rnacentral:rRNA from 1 species
AGAGUUUGAUCCUGGCUCAGGAUGGACGCUAGCUACAGGCUUAACACAUGCAAGUCGAGGGGAAACGACAUCGAAAGCUUGCUUUUGAUGGGCGUCGACCGGCGCAUGGGUGAGUAACGCGUAUCCAACCUGCCCACCACUUGGGGAUAACCUUGCGAAAGUAAGACUAAUACCCAAUGACGUCUCUAGAAGACAUCUGAAAGAGAUUAAAGAUUUAUCGGUGAUGGAUGGGGAUGCGUCUGAUUAGCUUGUUGGCGGGGUAACGGCCACCAAGGCUACGAUCAGUAGGGGUUCUGAGAGGAAGGUCCCCCACAUUGGAACUGAGACACGGUCCAAACUCCGUACGGAGGCA